ensembl:lncRNA
AUGUCUUUCCUUUCGGGUGUUCUGGGCAACAAGGCGGAUACCUAUGUGGACCAAGCAGUGGACCAAGCAGCAAAAGCAGCUAAAGGAAAGGUGAAGUCAAUGUUAAAGGGUAAAGGGGGGCAGCCUGCGGGAGCAGACCCCGCCCAAAAACCCCAGCCGCAACAACCCCAGCCAUCAAAACCCCAGCCAUCACAACCCCAGCCAUCACAACCCCAGCCAUCACAACCCCAACCAUCACAACCCCAACCAUCACAACCCCAGCCACAGCCUCCUAAAGAGACCGGUCCAACUGACGUUCCACCACAAAAGGAUGGUGGAACCCCUGCAGGUCCACCAGUGUCACAAGAAUUCGAUGACGCAUUGGACUCGCUGAUCGGUGGAAUGUAA